rnacentral:rRNA from 1 species
AUACGUAGGGGGCGAGCGUUGUCCGGAAUGAUUGGGCGUAAAGGGCGCGUAGGCGGCCCGGUAAGUCUGGAGUGAAAGUCCUGUUUUUAAGAUGGGAAUUGCUUUGGAUACUGUCGGGCUUGAGUGCAGGAGAGGUAAGUGGAAUUCCCAGUGUAGCGGUGAAAUGCGUAGAGAUUGGGAGGAACACCAGUGGCGAAGACGACUUACUGGACUGUAACUGACGCUGAGGCGCGAAAGUGUGGGGAGCAAACAGGAUUAGAUACCCUGGUAGUCCACACUGUAAACGAUGAAUGCUAGGUGUAGGGGGUAUCGACCCCUUCUGUGCCGCAGUCAACACAAUAAGCAUUCCGCCUGGGGAGUACGGCCGCAAGGUUGAAACUCAAAUGAAUUGACGGGG